GAGAGAUUGGUGAGGGUGAUUUCCCAGGAAGACGCAGUGUGCUCUGACUUCUGUGACAGACAUGCUCUGGAGUCAGAAGACAGCGAAAAGAGAAGCAGAAGCCCCGGUGGCAAGAGUCUGAAGCUGGAAAGGAGGAGAACAUGAAACAUUGCUUGAAGACAAUGGCCGAGACAGCAGGUCCCACCCUGCACAGCCACCAGCAUCUCUCCCCUCAGCCCUGUCUCCUCUUCUGCAGUUGGGAUCUGCACAUUUAAGCCUGAAAUUGUCCUGUGAAGUGAAGUAUGAUCGGACAGCCUCUUUUCAGCUUUUAUGACAAUGGAGACAGAGGAAUUGUGGCUCUUGCCAAGGUCACAGGAUUGGAAUACAGAGCCAAGCCACCCCAGGACAUGCAAGAGCCUCAGAAGGGAAAAAAGCCCAGCAGGAAGGGAGAACAAGUAGCCUCUGUCCUGAAGUUGUAACAGCCAGGGGCCAGGAUGGAGGAGGAGGACCCCAUAAUCUGCCCAUCUGGGACUUGGCAGGGGACCUGGGAAAAUGUACCCCAACCCAUCCCUUAAGGGCCUUUGUCUUUGGCCCAUUGGCCUAGCAUCUACUUCUUCACCGUGUCUGUUCUUGUCACACCUAGUCAGGUCUGUUUGGGUCUGAGGUGCAUGGAACAUUCUGGGUAGGCCUCCAGCAAACGGAAGCUCUUCACCGUGUUUCCAGCCUGGGACCAAGGGCAGCAUACUGGCAAAGUUGCCAAAGCAAGGGACUCCAGCCUCUUAGGAGUUAAUGACUCCCUCUCCCCAGCUGUCCUCCCCUUGGUGCUCCUCUUCCUCCCUCCUCCUGCUCACAGCAGGCAGGGCCUAGACCCGGGAGCCAUGCUGCUGUGCUGUUGCCAGGGGAGCACGGAGGCAGAUCUGAGCUAUGCAGGGAAAAGGCCCAGCCUGUCAAAGUGUCUGAGAUGAACCGCCGCCGUCCCUGUGCAGCUGGGCUCAGACGUGUCUCAGCUCUUGUUCUGUGCCUGAGAAUGGCGAAACCCAGUGAGGUUCAAGGGCAAACUCGCUAUUCAUUAGUCAGGGGUUCUUGACGUCCCGUCUCUCCCAGGGAUGAGUUCCCCCCUCCUCUUUCUCCCCCUCCUAUGACACAUUCCUGGGUGCCUUUGGUGAGGACUGCACACCCUCCUCCUGCCUAGCCCCCUCUCCAAAGGCCCCUGAAUAAACUCCCCCCAAGGAGACCAGGCAGGGCAGAGACAAUGGCUGCAGGAAAUCAUUCAGGCGGGACAUGCUGGCCUGCCCUCCACCCAGUCCCCCUGUGGGCCCCACUCCCUUCUGAUUCAGGGCACCCUUGGGCCCCCAGCCUAUACAGGCCUGGACAGGAAGAAACCACUGGGAACCACCCUAAGGACAACAUGCUAGUCCAGUGCCAUUCUUCGCUGGCUCUGUGGGUGCCUUUGUGGCCUGUACCGACUGGCUGGCUAAUUUUGUGGUUUCUGUACCAUCACAUGCCUAUUUUAAGACACUCUCCAGCACUGUCGGUUAGGGAGUGUAAAUUUUGCAAUAUUUUCUGAAAUGUGGCAAUAUCAAAAUGUAAAAGGCACACAUACUUGGUCACAAACAAAUGGCACUAUUUACUCUGUGGGCAUAUUUGUAAAAGUUGCCAAAGAAUUAUAUACAAGGAUGUUCAUCAGAGCAUUUCUUUUGAAGAGUAAAGAAAUGGACAUGAACCUGUGGUCCGUUCAUACGGUGGAAUACCUAUGCAGCUGUAAAAAUCAGUGUGGUAGAUCUCCGUAUAUGAGUUGAUGUGGAAGGUUGGCCAGUUCACAUGAUAAGGUGAAUAGAAUAAGUUACAGAACAGGCUGUAGAGUAUGAUCUUAUUUGUAGAUGUUUAAAACUGAGUCAUAAGUAUGCUUAUAUACAGAUCGUUUCUGGAAGUAUGUACUGGAAGUCUACCUCUGGGGAGUGGGGAUGGGGGAGUGCACUCUUCUAUACUGUUAUAUUUUCUUUUCAUGCUCCUAAGGUACUUUUAUUGGAAGAUGUAAAGCGGUUCAAUGUAAUAGGCUUAACUUCUGUCAACUAAGUUGGCGUGGGUGCUUUAAGAGGGUGGUAGUGAUGUUGCUGGAGAAAGUAUCCCACAGUCACUGGUGGCUUCAGCCACGGGCCAUUUUGGGGCCUAAUAAUCACAUAUCAUCAUGGUUGCUAGUGUUAAUCGAAAACCUACUAAGUGCCAGGCUUACUGUCUCUGGGUCUUGCUUACGUGGAUGUCAUUUUUCCAGUUGCACCAAAUCGAAAGAGGUUAAUUGGUUUGUUGGAGUUCCUUUGUAGGUGAAGGGCAGAGCCAGGAGCUUGGCUAGGGACAGGGGAGGUGAGUGGGGGAUGGUGGAUAGGUCUUGGCUCCCAGUUUCCUUCUGGGCAGACAUUGCCCCUCUGCCCUGAGGACCUGCUUGUUUGGGGGAAGAGGCCUUUAGAGGCACCAGGGUCAUGCCAGGUGUUGGACAUGGUGAACUGGGAAGUGCUCCCAUCUGGCCACAGCGCAGAAGUAUCACCGUGCUGGGGGAUGGGGAACAGGGCUGUGAAUGGGCCUAUUUGCAUAAGCAGCAUGUGUCUGGAGAGAAAGACAUCACAGAGCAGAAGAGUGCGGGUGCCCAGGAGUGCACUUGCCACCCCUACUUCAUCCCUGAAAGAGUAAAUGGCCUGGAAGGUGUCUCUGAGAGGUAAUGCCGCACACCACCCUCCCUGGGGGCAGGGUCAGGCUACACCUGCCUUAGGUCGGGGGCUGCAGCAGCCUGAGAGCUCUCAGUAGGGCCUCAGUAGCCUGGGAGGGAGCAGGGGCAGGGGGCAGGGAAAGAGGCGUAAUGGGGCUGUCCAGAGGGGCCUGGGAAACCUGGUCCCUGAGGCCUGGGCACAGCUACAAUCACUUCAAAUUGGCUGUGGGGCCAGUGGACUGGGAAGGAAAAAAGCAAUAAGAGUGACCAAGUGCAGAAGGCUGUCAGGUCCCAGGUCACAUGCCUUAGUGCAGUGACUCCUCAUCAUUUUAUGGGGUGUGGGUGUCGUUGGUACACCCAUUUUACAGAUGAGGACACCGAGGCCCAGAAAAGUUAAGUUACAUGUCCUAAGUCACACAGCUUGUAAGUGCCAGAACUGAGAUCAAAACCAAGUCUCUUUGACUUUAAAGUCUGUACUCUGACCCCAAAGAGAUCCUGUUUGGCCACUUAUAGGAGGUCCCUAAAGCUGCAGACUCCCCUUGCCGGCACCCACAUAUAGAGACAUUAACCCUUCCCCUGCAGGGUCACCUCAAAUAGUCUUUUAGCUGGGCUUCUCCUGCAAUUCCACCUAAUGCCAUCCCCUGGGUUUUGCCCAAACCUGAACUGGGCAGUGGGGUGAGAGGAGGGGUUUACAGGGUUACAGAGCCUCAUACAGAUAGGAGCCCAUGGCUGCUGGUCAUCUGCAUUCCUGCAGGAUUGGCUGUUCCUUGGGGUCCUUGGCAGGAAAAUGAGGAUUGCUCCGAGGCCUGCUCCAGUACUUCCCAGAGGCUGGCCUGGUGUGGGGCUCUGGGAAGGCUGAGGCUGGAGAAGCGUAAGUAGGAGGGCAGAGAUGGCACUCAGGUAGCUUGAAUCACCAGGACCCUUCCAAGCCCCACAGGUUCUGAGGGAGUACUAGGGCCAGCUCUGGGAGAGGUCUCUUCCUAUGCUGUGAACCCCCUGCCUUUCUUGCAGCCUACAACGAAUAAAUUUUCUUUGCAAAGGCU
rnacentral:lncRNA from 10 species